rnacentral:rRNA from 1 species
CAGUAGCCACGGUAAAACGUAGGGUGCAAGCGUUAAUCGGAAUUACUGGGCGUAAAGCGUGCGCAGGCGGUUAUAUAAGACAGAUGUGAAAUCCCCGGGCUCAACCUGGGAACUGCAUUUGUGACUGUAUAGCUAGAGUACGGCAGAGGGGGAUGGAAUUCCGCGUGUAGCAGUGAAAUGCGUAGAUAUGCGGAGGAACACCGAUGGCGAAGGCAAUCCCCUGGGCCUGUACUGACGCUCAUGCACGAAAGCGUGGGGAGCAAACAGGAUUAGAUACCCGCGUAGUCCCUGUCUCUUAUAC